rnacentral:lncRNA from 1 species
AAACUCAUAAGGUCCUCUGUCACCUGUGAUGUAAUACUAAAGGACUCAUUUUGAGCAGGUCCAGAGUAGGUAGCCAAGGCUGCUGUGAGUUAAUGAUCACAACAUUCAUACCUAUCUAGAAUAUAGUUUUCAUUUUCUCCUCAUCCUUCUCUUAAUAUUUUUCCUACGCCAUUUCCACAGUGCUCCCUGGUUCUUAGAGAAAAAAAUACAGAUGCAACAGUCAUUUGUUCUUGACAGUUUGUCCAUGUAUGAGGCUCUGUCACUUCAAAAAGAAGAUUAUCUGACCAAGGCUGAAAGCAUGACUUGUCUAUGUUUAUAAGUACAAAUACUUACAUGGUAUUCAGUUGCAUGCCCAUUUUGUAAAACAUCAGUAGUAGAUGGCUUGAGUUAUUCACUCCUAUAAAUCAGGUCCAUCCUCAAAACAGCAGUGCUACUGUUGUACAAGUUGGCACAUCUUGCCCAGAAUGUUGGUACUGUAGCAUGCAUACUGCUAUGUUGGAUAAGAUCAUAGAUGAAUUUGUCCUCCAGCAACUUUCAUAGCACUUUCCAGUACCAUGAAAGCUAGCCAGCAGGAAAGAAGUUUCCAGCUCAGUUUUAACUGUUGGGUUUUUUUGGUUUUGUUGUUGUUGUUGUUGUUGUUGUUGUUGUUGUUGUUGUUACUGUCUUUAAUAAGCAAGAAAAAAAAGGAUGAAGACAGUUGUACUCUCACUUCAAAUAUUGGGGAAACCAUAUUAGUAAAAGCAGCUUUGACUCCGUGUUGCUAUUGUGCAUGAAAAGUAGAUGCUGAUUUCCUCUAAAACAGUGGUUCUCAACCUGUUGGUUGCAACCCCUUUGUGGGAAGAAUGAACCUUCCACAGGGGUUCAUAUCAGCUAUCUUGUAUAUCAGGUAAUUACAUAUGAUUCAUAACAGUAGCAAAAUUACAGUUUAUAGAGUAACAAAAAAAGUAAUUUUAGGUUGUGGGUCAUAAUCUCAUAAGGAACUGUAUUAAGGGGUUGCAGCAUUAAGAAAGUUGAGAAUUUUUUUAUUUUCAUUUAUUCUAAAAUGUAUUUGUUUUAUUUUACUCUAUGUUUUAACUGUUUAGUCUGCUGCAUGUCUUUAUGUACAUCCCUUGCAUGCCUGGUACAUGCAGAAGAAUAGGGUGUCAGAAACCCUAGAACUAAUGUUACAGAUGGUUGUGAGACAUCAGUUGCGUGCUGGGAGCCAAUCCCAGGUCCUCUACAAGAGCAAUAAAUGUUCUUGAUGAUUGAACUUUCUCUAGAACCAAUAUUGAUUUGAUUUUAUCUAUUUAUCAUUAUUUAUUUUAUGUGUAUUGAUAUUUUGCGUGCUUAUAUGUCUAUGUAUCUCAUGUGCAUGGUGCUUUGGAGGCCAGAAGAGGGCAUCAGAUACCAUAGGACUGGAGUAAGAACCAAUUGUGAGGUUGCAUGUGAAUGCUGGGACUUGAACCAGAGUUCUCUGGAAAAGCAGCCAAUGCUCUUAGCUGCUGAGCCAUCUCCCUAGUCCCAUAUUUUGUUAUUUUAAAACUAUGUAUGCCUGUAUGUAGUUAUGUGUAUGUGAGUGUAGGUGCCUAAUGAGCCCAAAAGAAUACUUUGGAUCCUUUGAAGUUACAGGUGGCUAUGAACUACCUGCCAUUAAGUACUGGGAACCAAGCUUGUGUCAUUUUGAGGCAUAAGAAUCUCAGGACAGAUAAUAGACUUGGGCAUCAAGAAUCACUUCAUAGUUCUUCAUAAAAAGACAUUCAUAUUUAUUCCCAUGCAUCUUCAAGCAUGUAAUUCCAACCCUUUCUGUAUUUUGAUUCUGGGACACAUCUCAAAAGCAAAUUAUUUUCUAGCACAUGUAAAGGUGGAAAUGACCACAAUGUUCAGCUUCAUUAUUUGUUUUAGGUGAUCCUGUAACAUUCUCUAUGUUGACUAACAAAGCC